ensembl:lncRNA
GUCCCUUAAAGCCAAGUUAACUCAUAAAAUGUGUCCGUCAUAAUAACGUUACAGGCUAUGCUAAGCUUUGGUCUAAAAUUGUAUGUAACCAUGAAUAACGUGUUUUGGAAACUAACUGCACAACAGGCAGCACUAUUAGUUCUCUCAGUCUCAGAGUAGCAUUUCUAAUUUUGAUUGAAACUGUCAGAGAAAAACGGCAGCCUCGAGCAAGCCAGGAUAUUAGUUUACAGAGGCUGUUAAAAUUAUAUAUCUAACGUUAAAAUGUUGGUGACACAAUAAUUUCAUCCUAAUGGUACUGACAUAUUCAUAGGGUUAAUUUUUGAGACAAAAUAUCAUGAGGUAGUCAUGAUUUUGCAAAUAUUCCACCUUGUAGUGCAGUUUGCACAAAUUGUUUUAAAAAUGCACUCACCCUACAAACAUUACUGAUGAGUCAAGAUCUGCACAAACUGACAGAAACACUGAAGCAGCUACCCGUUUUAUUCUUAUUGUCAUGUAUGUCCUAUUUGUCAGGCGACAGAAGAACCAACACAAAGCUCAGAGGUGAUACAAGAUCACAGGUGACAGAGGCAGCUCUGCCAUGUUGUAGCUCGGACAGAGGUGAAGAGGCAAGGUCACAGGUG